rnacentral:tRNA from 1 species
UGUAAAAUAAGCUAAGACAAGCUGUUGGGUUCAUACCCCAAAUAUGAAUAAUUCUAUUCUUUUACAA